rnacentral:rRNA from 1 species
UACGAAGGGGGCUAGCGUUGCUCGGAAUCACUGGGCGUAAAGCGCACGUAGGCGGCUUCUUAAGUCAGGGGUGAAAUCCUGGAGCUCAACUCCAGAACUGCCUUUGAUGCUGAGGAGCUUGAGUCCGGGAGAGGUGAGUGGAACUGCGAGUGUAGAGGUGAAUUCGUAGAUAUUCGCAAGAACACCAGUGGCGAAGGCGGACUCACUGGCCCGGUACUGACGCU